UGUAGUCUUUCUAUUUUGAUUCAACCAAGAACUCGACAUUCAGCAAGUCAUGAUGACGGUCCCUAGAUUUAAGAUGACCUCCUACUAGUGGUACACACACAACGUCACAGAGAAGAUCCAUCGAUAUGUAAAUCCACCAAGUCUCCCAAAGAAUUUUUCUACGAGACUACUCUUGUGUCACCAACCGGUCAGCUUGCGGCGACGGUCUACUCCUCUAAACCAUGUGUGUUGAACAGCUAAAAUUUCGCUGAAUUGCUAUAAGACAACCUAGUUUUUACUA
rnacentral:lncRNA from 1 species